AGGAAAAUGUAUGCCAAAAAUACUGACCAUACUUCAAUUAUUGCUUGUUGCUUUGUAGAAUUAGCAUAGACUUAAAAUACCCUAAAAUAAUACAGAAAUAACUUAUUUUAAAAGAUUUUGGUUUUAUUUUUAAGUUGGAGUCCCAGUUGAACAUCUUCUGUUUAGUGUGCAAUUUUAGGAUUUGUCUUAAGUGGAUUCGCUGUAAACUGGUCCAUUUCCAUGACCAGUGAAAUUCCCCUGAAGAGGCACAGUAAGUUAGGACAGGUGGAGGGACUCACCCAGGGUCACAUGGCCAGAAGGUGGCAGGACCUGGGCAAUGCUGUUUCCGUGCCUCCCAAUGACCAAAGUUGUAUUGAAAGGAUUCUCUGGUGGAUUCAUAAUAUGAACUCAUGUGGGAAAUCAGGGAUUCUAGGCAGUUAAUCGGCAAACCAGCUAUUGAUUUGUUUUUUGAAAGAUUUUUUUUUCUAUUAAUAAAACUUUGUUGUGUGGACAUGAUUCUGAUUUAGAAGACAUUCCUCAUGGCUUAUGGCAGUCUUCAAGGAGGCAGUGUUCUCUUACAAGGCCAUCUCAUGCCUGCCUUGGACUGCCUGAGUGACUGUACUAUCUUCCGCUUCCUUGUAGUCUUCAGAGGAAGUUUUCCUCCCAAAGAAACUAAUUCAAGUUUGCUCCCGAUAAAUGAUGGUAAAGAUCACCACUGAUACUCUUCUUCCUACUACUCACUGUCCUGUUUUCAUGGAAACGGGUUGCCAGUUCUGGUGGUUAGGAAGUCCAAGGCUGAGGGGCUGGCAUCUGGUGAGAGAGCCUUCUCGCCGUGCCAUCCUGUUAGAAACAGUUCUCCUUAUCUUACACUCUUCCCACAGCUGCUGGCUGUGUCACAGGUUGUGUUGCUCAGGCAGCAGACUCUGUGGGGGAGAUUAGCAGUCAGGCUUAUUUAGGCAUGAAAGCUCUCAGGAUCCACAUCUGGGAAAGGAAAGAAACAAAAGUAGGUGGGGCAAAGGGAGAUGCAGACGCCCCAGGAACUGUGCAGCUGAACUGACCCCUCAGAGCUGCUCUGAGUUGGCCUGAAUGAGGGAUCCUUUAUCCUCCGAGUCACUGGAUGGCAGUGAGACACACUUCUUCAGCUGAGACAAUUCUCUCCAGCAGCCCCCAACGUUUUUGGCACCCAGGAUGGGUUUUGUGGAAGACAGUUUUUU
rnacentral:lncRNA from 10 species